rnacentral:rRNA from 1 species
UAGGGAAUCUUCGGCAAUGGACGGAAGUCUGACCGAGCAACGCCGCGUGAGUGAAGAAGGUUUUCGGGUCGUAAAGCCCUGUUGUAAGAGAAGAACGAGUGUGAGAGUGGAAAGUUCACACUGUGACGGUAUCUUACCAGAAAGGGACGGCUAACUACGUGCCAGCAGCCGCGGUAAUACGUAGGUCCCGAGCGUUGUCCGGAUUUAUUGGACGUAAAGCGAGCGCAGGCGGUUAGAUAAGUCUGAAGUUAAAGGCUGUGGCUUAACCAUAGUAGGCUUUGGAAACUGUUUAACUUGAGUGCAAGAGGGGAGAGUGGAAUUCCAUGUGUAGCGGUGAAAUGCGUAGAUAUAUGGAGGAACACCGGUGGCGAAAGCGGCUCUCUGGCUUGUAACUGACGCUGAGGCUCGAAAGCGUGGGGAGCAAACAGGAUUAGAUACCCUGGUAGUCCACGCCGUAAACGAUGAGUGCUAGGUGUUAGACCCUUUCCGGGGUUUAGUGCCGCAGCUAACGCAUUAAGCACUCCGCCUGGGGAGUACGACCGCAAGGUUG